GGGACCUCAGAUCAGGCAAGACUACCCGCUGAGUUUAAGCAUAUCACUAAGCGGAGGAAAAGAAACUAACAAGGAUUC
rnacentral:rRNA from 1 species